CUACAUUGGGAGUAAAUCUCAUAACCUAAAUAGCCAAUAUGAACAUUAGAUGAAAAUGAAAAUCAUGGUGGCUCACUACUAAAUUGAAAGGCUACUAGAGUAAAUUGGAAGCAAUGUAAAGAGAGCAUGCUUCAAAACUUCUGUGCAGAUGAAGGAUAAUGGAGCAUGAUAGCAGAUUUGCUUCAUGGAUUUGGCUCUACAGGAAAACUGACAACUCAAUUUAAAUGUUUAGAUUGAUGGAAGAAAGACUGAAUGGAUUGUGCAGCCACAUACUAUGUGAGGAAGGAAUAAUAUAUUAUAUGAAAUGGAAUAGAGAGUGAUGCGGUAAAUAAAGAGAAUGGAAUUACAUGAUCAAGCAUAAGAUGCUCCAAGCUAGAAAAAAACCAAAACUGAAACAGUAAUAAAUACUGUUGAAGAACCAAACUUGAAUAUUAAAGGAAUUCCUUAAAAGAGAAAAAAAGAAAGAAAACUUGUUACCUUCACAGUUUGGACUGGUGCACACCGUGGGUUGUUGAAAUGUUUAUCAAGAAUGGUGAAUCUUGAAGGGCAGUAUUUGAUUCUACAUAUCUAAAAAUAUUUGCAUCUCCAAUGUGGAGUUUCCAUCUUGUCCAGAAUAUCAGUCCACUGGAAGCUGUCUAGAAAUGUGCUACCAGAUGAAUACCCUUCACAGUCAUCAUACCUUGAGCAUUUUGCUUCCCUAGGCAUCAAUAUGCUAGCAGCUGAUUUGGCAGAAGUUCACAUGAUUAUCCACCAUCUUUCCAAAAAUUCUGUAGCAUGCUUUUCACAAGGUGUGAUAGCAUGUAGUAUUGAUAAGCAUUACACCAUCACUCUGGUGUUAUACAUUUGUAUGAAAUUAUUGAUACAAUUUCCAUUACAUAUUGUGCUUUAUCAAGGAAGACACACACAAAAAAAAAAAAAUAUGAUAAAGUGAGAUGGGACAAAUGUACAAUGUUUCUUUUUUCUCCUUUGAAAUAUAGAUAUUAAAAGAAUUAUAGUGAA